CCUUGCACGAGGCAGUGCGGUUUAAGCACCUUGAUGUGGUGGAGAUAUUGAUCAGAGAAGACCCUGACUUUUCCUACCCUCCUAAUGUUGCCGGGGAGACUCCACUUUAUUUGGCUGCCGAGAGGAGAUACAAAGCUUUGUUCUCCGAAAUACUUCGCACUUGCAAGCAUCCAACUUACCAAGGCCCCAUUGGUAGAACCGCUUUGCAUGCUGCAGUGAUUCACGGUGAUGAAGAAAUGACCAAAGAAAUACUAAACAAGAAAAAGGAUUUGGCGAUAGCAGCAGACGAAAAAGGAUGGACCCCA